rnacentral:sRNA from 1 species
GUGCCCGGAANGGACACUCCGGUUCUGAGCGCGCGGUCCGCACCCACCUGACGAUUGCUCGCUACGUUUUGUUAGCC